GUCAGGUUCCCCCGGGGCGUGUGUGGUAUCUCUCCUAGGAGGUGACCGCCGCGUAAGUAAUCGGCGUGGAGUCUCGUGGGAUGAACGGUGUGCCCAGUGAUCAGGUAUGGGUUGAAGGAGUAUCGUUGGUUAGCUCCGCCUGGGUGAGAUGUUCAUGUGGAAGGCCCAGAGUCUGCAGUAAGGCCUGUGCUUCGUGCAGGUCCUGGAUGAUAUGCGUGGUCGCUCCUUGUUUCACCGUCAGUCCCCUUGGGGAGCGCCAGCGGUACUCGAUGUUGUGGGAUUGGAGCACAGAGGUGAUCUGUUUGAGUGACCU